CCUACGGGUGGCAGCAGUGGGGGAUAUUGCACAAUGGGGGAAACCCUGAUGCAGCGCUGCCGCGUGAAUGAAGACGGCCUUCGGGUUGGAAAGUUCUGUCGCAGGGGACGAAAAUGACGGUACCCUGCAAGAAAUCUCCGGCUAACUAAGUGCCAGCAGCCGCGGUAAUACGUAGGGAGCAAGCGUUGUCCGGACUUACUGGAUGUAAAGGGAACGUAGGCGGGAGGAUAAGGUGAAUGUGAAAUCUAUGGGGUCAACCCAUGGCUGCGUUCAAAACGGUUCUUCUUGAGUGAAGUAGAGGCAGGCGGAAUUCCUAGUGUAGCGGUGAAAUGCGUAGAUAUUAGGAGGAACACCAGUGGCGAAGGCGGCCUGCUGGGCUUUUACUGACGCUGAGGCUCGAAAGCGUGGGUAGCAAACAGGAUUAGAUACCCUUGUAGUC
rnacentral:rRNA from 1 species